UUCUCUGGAUAAGUAGAAGAGAAGUCACUAAAAUCAUUGCUUGCGAGAAAAGAACAACUUUGGCAUCAAGGAUUAAAUGAUAAUUAUGUAGAAGAAUCUAAUGUAUCUUCAUGUUUCUGCAAUCAUACAAAGAGAGUUGGAUAUGUGACUAGGAGAAAAGUUUUUCUUGUAAUUCUUUUACUAUUGUAGAUUAUGUCAAUCAAGUCUCCACAUUGAUUAUAGUUCCUUCAGUGACUAGUAAUAACAUUUCUCAGAAGAGGCUCUGGCAUGAAAUAGAGCCUUUCUCUGGCGUGUGAAACAUGGCCAUUCAAAAUAACCUUUUUGACCAAAAAAUCAUGGAGGAAUGAUGUAGAAAUGAGUAUCAAUCAAACAGAUUUAAUGAGAUUGAUUCUGUAGGAUUUCAUGCAGACUAAUGUAGAAAGUCGUCCGUGGGAUCGAUCAGACCACAUGAAAUGCCUAAGCUUUUGGAGGAUAGAGAGCCCUGAUUGCAAUCGAAUCAAUCAAGGGUCCACAAGCAGGGUCCUCCUCUACUCCUGGAUUGUGGAUCACAAUCUCAGCCACAUCAAGCUCGGCCUGGAAUGCCCAGGCAUACGAGUCCCACCCGUUGCUGCUGUACAGGGUCUGCAUUGGAAGCACUCCCGAGUCGGGCGCAACUGAUAUGUUGAGCUUCUCCUCCUGGGCGCACGUCCGGGCUGCACUGAACGUGAUAGAGUAGUACAUGCCCUUCUGCACCCGGAGACGCUGCUUGAUCGAGGCCUCAUUCCCGAGCCGCACCGCGAAUGCGCCCUCGGGGACGACCAGCAGCAUGUCGCCCUGCUUCUGGCCCGACUUGAUGUACUCCACGAAGCCGGAUAUCUCCCACUUGGGGAUUGCAUACUUACCGAUCACCACCGUGCCUUUCAUGUCUGAGGGCUUGGGCGCGAGCUCAAAGUUCCCGUUCGGCACUAGCCCUGUGCCAGAAAAUGAAUCGGGCAUAUUUUAACGAAUGAUCAAUUGAUCGGGUCCACAGCCAUGUACAAAAUUUAACUCAUUAGGCCGAAGUUGAAAAGAGAGAUUGGACAAAAAGGACAUAUCAUAUGGGGCAUUAAUUGUGACCUAGCAUAAGCUUUUAUUGCUCUCACUCAAGGACCAUCUGGUCUGCAAAGUACUGCACAGUUUACUGCAGGAGAUGACCAAUGACCAUAUGGGUAUUAUUAUUGCUUCUUCUUCCCUCCUCA